rnacentral:lncRNA from 1 species
GUGCAGUUUUGUUGCUUUGUUGUGUCUUGUUUUCCCUUGCGCCAAGCCUAAUUGUUGCGGAAAUAAGACCGUGGUGUCCAUCAAGAAAACAAACAUUUGAUGGUUCAUGCAAAAAAGAUUUCACACAAUGCUUUGAUGACUUAAAAGCAACAUGGGCUUCUGUUGGAGACCUUGGUCCAACCGAUUGAGCUUCCACGGAGCCAUUAAGAGAGGAGGACAAGGAUUCUAUCACAUCUGAAAAGGUCAAUGCAUAAACUAACAUGUAUUAUGGAUUGUCUUGUUUUAGAUUCACUUCUCUUUUUAUCUCCCUGACCGUAUUUGUUCUGCAUCCAGGGGCCAUUGAAAAAUCGCAAAUUGUCAUUGAUCUUUAUAUGCAUCCCAGUCAGCCCCGGUCGCAGUAGGUUGAUAUGGACGUUUCCUAGAAACUUCGGGGUAGCUAUUGAUAAGAUUGUUCCUAGAUGGGUGUUCCACAUAGGGCAAAACAAGAUUCUAGACUCAGACUUGCACCUCCUUCAUGUCGAGGAGAGGAAGAUACUGGAGAGAGGCCCUGAAAACUGGCAAAAAGCUUGCUUCAUCCCAACAAAAUCAGACGCACUUGUGGUUACAUUCAGGAGAUGGUUCAACAAGUACAGUGGAGCUCAAGUCGACUGGAGAGGAAAGUUUGAUCCAUCUCUUCUUCCUCCAACGCCUCCUCGAGAACAGCUCUUCGACAGGUUUACUUUACUUACAUCUUCUUAUCUUUAUCCUUUGUAAACGAAAACGUACCUUAAUGAAGAGAGUUUUGUGUUUCUUAAGGUAUUGGUCGCAUGUGGAGAACUGCAGCAGCUGCAAGAAAGCUCACAAAUACCUCAACGCGUUUGAGGUGAUCUUGCAAAUCGUAUCGGUUGCUUUGAUCGGAGUUAUGGCCGUGACGAAGCAGAUUGCCAUGUCUAAUGUGGCUAGAAGCGUGGUGGUUGUGGCGGCUGUGUUGAGUUUUGCGGCUUCGAAGUGGCUAUCGCACUUCAUCUACAAGACGUUUCAUUACCAUGACUACAACCAUGCCCUUGUUUGAAAAUUGAAAUGAUAUUGGUGUGUGUACAUAAACAUUUAUACAUACAUUUGAGGAACCUACAAAAACAUCAUAGACCGUGUUUAAGGGGCAUGUUAUGCUCUAAACCAAAUAAGUGAACUGGGCUCAUUUGCAAAUGUUCGGCCUUCAUUUUUUGAAGAUUUUACACAAAUUUGGGCUGGGCCUUUGCCCUUUGGUGAACUGGGUAUGCUUCUCCAAAGGUACUCUACUUUUCCCUCUAGACACCAAUAUAGAGUAAAAAAUCACUUCAAUGUACCAAAUGUUACACCAAAUAUAGAGGGAUGAACAGUAUUACUGUAUUUUUACAAAAUGAUCAUUCACUUUUACACGUUUUCAUUUUCUACCUUAAUAAAUCAUAUAUUAUAACUUCAUACUUUUAAAUAUCAUUAAAUUCAUAAAAUUAAUUAUUAAAUUAGCUGAAAAUUUAAUGAACUAAUAACUUAUAUUUAAUUAGAAAACACAACAACAUAAUAAGUAAUAAACUAAAAAUAAAUAAUCCAUAAUAAAAAUAUAAAAGAUUCAAACUUAUCAUAACACAUUAUCAUGAUUUAAUAUUCUAGUAGAUCAUUUCCAGAACCACCAAUAUCAUUAAAAAAAUUUCCAAAUAAAGUUGAUGAAGAAGGAGGUUGUUGAUUCAUCUUUUUCCUCAAGAUUCUUGUUUGUUCUCCUUGAACAUAAGCUCAAAUAUUUGGAUUUUCUAUUGAAUUUAAGUUUUGAAGUAACAUUUUAUUUUCUUCUUUGAGCUCCUUCAAUGCAUAAUUUUUACUUUGCAUCUCCAAGUGGUGUUGUCUUUGUGUAUUUGUCUUCUUUAAUUGUUCCAAGAGUUAUUGGUUUCCUUCUUCUAAAGUCUUGAUAACAACAGAUGUUUGAUCAUCAUUCUUUCUUUUCAGUUUUGAUUUUUUUACUCUAAUUGGUCAUUGAGAUGGAGAUCCACCACUAAUAUAUUCUUCUAAAUUUAUAGAAAAUGAAAACAAACCAGGAGAUGCUUGUGUAACAUGGUCAGGAGUAGGAUUAUCAGACUCUGAAGAUGUAUAUCCAAAACUGCAUAGAGUUGCAUCUUUUUUAGCAAGAUUAGAACCAUCUUUAAACUUUUCAAAAAAAUUGACAAAAUUCCAUACAUGAUCAAAUUUCCAACGGAUCUUCCACUUAACAUUUCUUUAGCUUGAUUGAUCUGCAUAUAAAUUUAUAACAUAAAUAAAUAUAUAUUUAAAGACACUGAAUAAUUAAGAAAAUAUAUAUUAAUACUUACGAUAUCAUCAUUUGAAGUAGGCAUGGGCAUUUUAACCUGGAUCCGAAAAUCCGAACCGGAACCGACCAAAAAAUACCCAACCUGGAACUGAACCGAAAAUUUACAAGUACCUUUUGGGUCUAAAUUUCUUUUACCCAAAAGAACCAGAACCGAAAGGAACCGACCCGAAAAGAACCAACCCGAAUAGACCCGAUCCGGUAAGAACCGAUUUGUACCCGACUUAAAAACAUGUGUAUCUAAAACUAUGAUUUUUUUGUGUUCUAUUAUAUAUAUUAUUUUAUGAUUUAGUUGAAAUAUAUUUUGUUAACAACAUUUGUUAUUAUUUUAUAAAAAUUUUAAGUAAUAUGAAGCUUAUAAAAUUUAGAGUCUAAAAAUGUUAUAUUUUAAUUAUUAAUAGUUUCAUAUAAGUUAUUUUGUACAAUUUUAGAUAUAUAUGAUAAAUAUCGACUAAAUUUGAUGGAGUUGGGUAUGUCAUGUCUUUUUUAGAUCUUAAAUACUCAAAUCCAAUAUGGACCCGAAAAAUUACAGGUAUUUUAUGGCUAUUUUAAUUAUAGACCCGAACCGACUCGGAUCUAAAAUGAACUGAUCCUAACCCGAACCGAAAAUUUCUAAGUACCUAUUGGAUCUAAGUGUUUAGGAUCCGAACCCGAAAGACCUGGACCUGAAAGGAACUUCCGAAUCCGACCCGAAUACCUGAACGCCCAGGCCUAAACUAGAUGUUAUGGUUGACCAGUGUUGUCACAACAUUUAUAACCGGUUUGAAUGGUUUUGAUCCAAAUCCGAUUAUUAGCACAACUUGGAUUCGGUUAACUAAGAGAUACAAUUAGUCUGAUAAGGCUAAUCGGCUUCACUUUGUUUUCAAAAUAUUUUUUAAAGUAAUAUUGUUAUAUUAUUUUUGAAUCCGAUUAUGCGGAAGAACGAAUCCCGCGCAUUCAAAAGCGCGGAUCAAUAUCUAGUAAACUUUUUAAAUAUGAUAGACUCCUUAGAAUUCCUUAUAAAUUUAACAAAUCUCUUGAUUCUUAAAAUCAACAAAUUUUAAACAUUUAAUGUGUUAAAUUUAUUAUCUUGACUAGCUUUUAAAAUCUUUUGGUUUCUAAUUGAGAUAGUUAUCUUUACAUAAUCAUCAUUCCUUAGAGAUUUGGUAAAUCAUGGAUUCUCUUUUUAGUCUUAGCUUUCUUCGAUUUCCCAAACCCAAAAUGCAAAAUUAUUAAGAGUCAAACUAACAUUUAAUGUUUUAACUGUAUUAUCUUGACUAGCUUUAAAAACUUUUGUUUUCUAAUUGACAUAAUUAUCUGUACAUAAUCAUCAUUCAUUAUAAAUUCGGUAAAUCGUGGAUUCUCUUUUUAGUCGUAGCUUUUUGGAUUUCCCAAACCCAAGAUGCAAAAUUUUUAACAGUCAAACUAACAUGUAACAUUUAUUGCUAGCUAUAUCGCUUCUGCGUAGAUAUUAAUUAUAUAUACGUAGCAUAUUAGUGCUGACUUAGAAAAAGGAAGUAAGGUGCAGUUUUGUUGCUUUGUUGUGUCUUGUUUUCCCUUGCGCCAAGCCUAAUUGUUGCGGAAAUAAGACCGUGGUGUCCAUCAAGAAAACAAACAUUUGAUGGUUCAUGCAAAAAAGAUUUCACACAAUGCUUUGAUGACUUAAAAGCAACAUGGGCUUCUGUUGGAGACCUUGGUCCAACCGAUUGCACUUGCACGUCUCAACCCCAGAACAAGCGUCUCUGCUAUUGUCGUUAUUUACCUUGCCCUAGCUAAAUACUGUAAUUUUUAUGAUUCGGAAAUCAAAUUGU